GUCUUUUCGGAGACAUCCCAUAAUGGAACGAUACAGAAAAGAUUACCAUGGCCCCUACGCAAGGAUGACACGCAUAAAUAGAGAAAUUGUCCACAUUUAA